rnacentral:rRNA from 1 species
AACGAACGCUGGCGGCAUGCCUAACACAUGCAAGUCGAACGAGACCUUCGGGUCUAGUGGCGCACGGGUGCGUAACGCGUGGGAACCUGCCCUUAGGUUCGGAAUAACUCCCCGAAAGGGGUGCUAAUACCGGAUAAUGUCUUCGGACCAAAGAUUUAUCGCCCUUGGAUGGGCCCGCGUUGGAUUAGCUAGUUGGUAGGGUAAAAGCCUACCAAGGCGACGAUCCAUAGCUGGUCUGAGAGGAUGAUCAGCCACACUGGGACUGAGACACGGCCCAGACUCCUACGGGAGGCAGCAGUGGGGAAUAUUGGACAAUGGGCGAAGGCCUGAUCCAGCAAUGCCGCGUGAGUGAUGAAGGCCUUAGGGUUGUAAAGCUCUUUUACCCGGGAUGAUAAUGACAGUACCGGGAGAAUAAGCUCCGGCUAACUCCGUG